GUACAUCGGCGCCCUCCGAUCUGGGGUGCGCGCCCCAGCUUGGGACACGCGGCGCUCAUUCUAGGACUUCAGCUGGAGGCACCUUAAGGCCCCCUCCUCGCAUUGCAAACUGGUCCCAGAGAUACUAAGUGACUUGCUAAUGGUGCCCCAGCCAGUUAAGGACUUGGACCUGCAUUUUUCAUUCGAGAAAACUGAAACCCAGAAGAUUAAGAUCGUUGAAUGCUACCUAGCAGGAGAACUUCGGUUUAUAACUACAGCUCGGGAAUUCGCUGCAGCGUUUCUCGAUUCUCUGGGCAAGAAAAAUAGUCCCAGAUGCAUUCUGAGGACAGCUCAGAGAAGGUCCUAGCGAACGAGUACCUUUCUUGCUUCUUGAAUCCCUUCAGGAAAAAGUGUUUGGAAAGUUCUGAGCCAAGAAGUUCCUCCCUGUGUCCUUGUUAUUUAGCCACCUAGCAUGGAGAGAGAAUCUGUGCUUCUGGGAGAAGAAGAGUGCAGUGAUUGUCAGACUUUGCACUGGCACUCAGUGCUGCCCAGUCAUAGCACAAAGCAACACUGGAAAGAACUCACCCAGGGCCCAUGGAGGAUCAUUCAGACCAGCCCUAGCUGGAAGCAAAUCAUCCAUCCCAGCAGUGGGAACCUGAGUUCCAGUAAGCCUCACCACCAUGGGCUGAAGUGCUCUGAGGUUCUACAUAAACUUGAAAGGCAGUCUAGGCCACAAGGAUGGCAAUUCCUGGGCAAGUCCUGGUGCUGUGCUGGGCUCAGAGCCAGUGAAUGUGGGGUACACAACCUAGUGAGACACCAGCUGGGAUGGCCAAGGGAUCGCCUGCACCACCCGUCUCCCAACCCCAGGCAGCGGAGCUCAAAGCUCAGAGAGAGACUUCUUUCCUCUGCUUGAGAAGAACAGAGGGAAGAACAAAGAUGACUUUGUCUUGCAUCUUGGAUACCAGCUUGGCUGCAGUAGGAUAGGGCACCAGGCAGAGUCCUGAGGCCCCUAUUCCAGGCCAUAGCUCCAAGCUGACAUGUCUAGCCACACCCUGGGCCAGAAGGGAACCUGCUGCCUUGAAGGGCAGGACCAGUCCUGGCAGGAUUCCUCCCCAGCUGACUAACGAGCCCUUUGGCCCUGAAUAAUCGGAAGUAGCCAGGUAGUACUCAUCGUGGGCUUUAGGUGAGACUCAGAGACAUGCAGGCUUCAGGAUGACCCAGCACAUUCCAGCUGUGGCGGCUAUGGGGAGAAAUUCCUUCUGCUUGAGAAAAGAAGAGGAAAGAGUAAAGGGGACUUGGCCACUGUGGGGUUAGAAUGCAAAGUGGGCUCUUAGGGUCCCUGAUUCCAGGCUUUGGCUCUUAGAUAGCAUUCCUGGACCUGCUCUGGGCCAGAGGGGAGCCCACUUCCCUGAAGGGUGAGUCCCAGGCCAGGCAGCAUUCACCACAAGCUUACUGAAGAGCCCUUGCGCCUUGAGUAUACAUCAGCAGUAGCCAGACAGUACCCAUCACAGGCCUGGGGUGGAAGUGGCCAUGGGAAGAUACUUCUCAGCUUGUGGAAAGGGGAGGGAAAAGUGGGAAGGACUUUGUCUUGUGGCUUGGGUGCCAGUUCAGCUGCAGUACAAUAGAGUACCAAGUAGAUUCCUAAGGUUUCUGAUUAGGCCCUAGCUCCUGGAAGGCAUCUCUGGAUUCACCCCAGGCUGGGGGGAACUUGCCACCCUGAAGAGGACAUAAGCUUGGCUGGCUUUGCCACCUGCUGAUUUUAGAGCCACAGGGCCUUGCGUGAACGUAAGUAGUAGCCAGGUACUGGUUACCGUAGGCCUUGGGCAAGACCCAGUACUGUGCUGGCUUCACCUCUGACCCUGCACAGUCCCAGUGGUGGUGGUCACAGGGGUGUUUGUGUCACUUCUCCCCCAACUCCAGGCAGCUGAUCACAGAAAGACAGACUUUGUUUGGGGGAAAGAAGGGAAGACAAUAAGAGUCUCUGCCCGGUAAUCCAGAGAAUUCUUCCAGAUCUUAUCCAAGACCACCAAGGCAGUGCUUCCAUGAGUAAUCAGUGUUAACUUGUCAGCGGUUUAAAAUAAUGAGUAAUAAAAUAUUAUCUGCAAACAUCAUGGUGACCUCAAAUCAAAAAACAUACAACAGACUAUGAAAGAGCCACAGCAUUUCUAUGCUUAGUGUGCCCUCUAAUGCAGAUACAGCUGCAGUGACCAAAAACUUAGAUCACAACACCCACGUUCCUUUGAAUUCCUGAAAAGCCUUCCAAAGAAGGACAGAUACAGCCCAGACUGCGAAGACUAUGAUAAAUAUUUAACUCAGACACUGAUGAACAUCUACAAGCAUCAGGACCAGCCAGGAAAACAUGACCUCAUCAAAUGAACUAAAUAAGGCACCAGGGGCCAAUCCCAGAGAAACAGAGAUAUGUGACCUUUGAAACAGAAUUCAAAAUAGCUGUUUUGGCCAGGCGCAGUGGCUCACACCUGUAAUCCCAACAUCUUGGGAGGCCAAGGUGGGUAGAUCACUUGAACUCAGGAGUUCAAACCAGCCUGGCCAACAUGGUGAAACCUUAUCUCUACUAAAAAUACAAAAAUUAGUUGGGUGUGGUGGGGUGUGCCUGUAAUCCCAGCUACUCAGGAGGCUGAGGCAGGAGAAUUGCUUAAACUUGGGAGGCGGAGAUUCAGUGAGCCAAGAUUGCACCACUGCACUCCAGCCUGGGCAACAGAGCAAGACUCUGUCAAAAACAAACAAACAAACAACUGUUUUGAGGAAACUCAAAAAAAAGUAAAGCUAACAUAGAGAAGGAAUUCAGAAUCCUGUCACAUAACUUUAACAAAGAGAUUGAAAUAACUAAAAAGAAUCAAG
ensembl:lncRNA